CGUAAUGCACUUAAAUUUCUCAAGUAUUGCUUCCAUAUAAUCUGUAGCAGGAAGCCUUGCUUUUAAAAGGGGGCGGGGAAGAGACAGAGACACAGACACAGACAGACUGUUCUUUUCACGCUGUAUUACAUUUGUAGAAAUAUGUUAACAUCCCUCACUACGAAGGAACCUGGUCCCCAAAGAAAGAGAACAAGGAAGAUUGGGGUUGGGUAGGUGUGAGGAGGGGAACCGUGAAUUCCAGACACUGAAUCUGCCCAAAGUUGCUAUUCGUUGUCUUUCAUAUGUGUGUGUGUGUGUGGAAGGGGGGGGCACGGGGGGCAUAACCCUCAGUUGGCCCAGCAUGGGUGUGCGUGGUGUUUUUGUUUUCAUUUUGCAAAGACAUGCGUUUAUGCAUUUAUGUUGCGCUUCGCAAAGACGCGGGACUCGGCUCCAGAGCCGCCACCCCCGCUCCACCGCCGAAACCGAGCUGACUUCUGCGCAUAGGAAUGCUCUGGCAGGCUCAAAUUCUAUGCCCGAUUACAUGGAAGAAAGACCCAUUCCAAGGCAGCCUGACUUCUGAGUAAAAAUGCGCAGGACUGUGAGACUACAAUUCUAUGAAAAGAAAGGAUGGCUGAGUCACAAAUAGCUUCGAGGAGCCUUAGCGGAAGAACUUAUUUCCAGUCUGUUUAGGUCUCCAGAGGACUUAUUUUCCGAGGGUUUUUUUGUUUUGUUUUUCGCCAACGGAGCAGAACCGCAGUGCAUUCUAAGGUUAUUUCAGGUUUGUUAAUGUUCGCAAUAAUACCGGUGAGUAAAGAUCUUCGUUUGGAGAUGCCCACAAGGGAAGACAUUUUCUAAGAAACGAACAAGUUUAAAUCCUGCAGAUUCGAGGUCGGGGAACACAUUACGAUUCCUCUUAGCUGACACACAAACCUGGGUGAUGUACAUUAGUAAUGAACAGCAAACUUACACGUUUCUCCUCAUGGGGAGUAAAUUGAGGGGGGGCGUAUUCUUGGAUUCAGUCAAGAUCAAAGGUUGUUGGCGUCAUUAACGACAGCCUCUAGCGCAGGAGGUUUUGUAAAACGCGGGUCAUUUCAGUCACUUGAAAGGCUUUUCAUUUGAAGCUUUCCUUUUAAACAAUGCAAGAGCACGAUCCGGCCAAAAAGUUAAGCAUUAAGAGAGAGAGAGAGAGAGAGAUUUCGAGAGGAGAAUUAAGCCUGGAGCUUAAAUCGCCCUCGAGGUAAUUCCCUGAACUCACAGGUGUCUAACUUGGGCAGGCGAGUCCUCCAGGUUUUCAGCUUCUGAAAUGCCCCUUUAUAUUCUCAGAUGUGGUAGCUGUUGCUUUUCAAUCGCUUACAAUCUAUCUUGCUUUCCCCCCACCACUUCUCUUUAUUUCUUUGGUCAUGUUUACGGGAGAAAAAGCGGGUUGGGAAAGCAGACCCCGCUGGAAGAAAGGGCCUAAGCGAAGGAGCGGAAAGAGAAAUCUAAACCAAAGCAAACGGACCGUAGGAAAAUUCCAUUUAAUGGCGCCCAGGAGCGGGAGAAAUGUCUCCCUCUCAAUCGCGCGUGCACCAAUUAGGAAUUCUCUUUGAUGUAGGACUGCUCCAUUCCGACGUCGGCGUACACUUGGGCCUUGGGCGAUCGCGGCGCCCCUCCACGGGAAGGUCGUCCUUCACUUGAGCUUGGGAAGGAUCAAUGCCUUUCCCUUGGUCGCUUGGUUUUCCAUUUGACCUCAGCCACGGGCAGGAGGAGAAGGUGAAGGACUCCCGCGGUGUAGAGUCCCGUUGGCGGCGGCGGCGGCGGCGGCGGCGGCGGAAGUUAAUUCUUCG